rnacentral:misc_RNA from 1 species
GAUGAAGAACGCAGCGAAAUGCGAUAAGUAAUGCGAAUUGCAGAAUUCAGUGAAUCAUCGAAUCUUUGAACGCACAUUGCGCCCGCCAGUAUUCUGGCGGGCAUGCCUGUUCGAGCGUCAUUUCAACCCUCAGGCCCCGCCUGGCGUUGGGGAUCGGCGCGGCCCUCUCCGGGCUGCCGGCCCCGAAAACUAGUGGCGGUCUCGCUGUAGUCCUCCUCUGCGCAGUAGCAACGCUCGCACUGGAACUCGGCGCGGCCACGCCGUAAAACACCCCACUUCUGAAAGUUGACCUCGGAUCAGGUAGGAAUACCCGCUGAACUUAAGCAUAUCAAUAAGCGGAGGA